rnacentral:rRNA from 1 species
AUGCAGGUAAUAGGUUCCGCUUCAACAUUGAAGAAAGAUAAACACUGGACCAACCUUGUUGAGAGUGCCAAAGAGCGAAACCGUUAUUUCAAGGUGCCAAAGCCAUUCACUGCGUUCUUCACCGAGGAUAGUUUCAAAUCCAUGAAGGUGGAAAGACCUGUUCCAGACGCGAGGAUAUCACAGGCAGUAGAAGCCAUCAAUGAAGUGGUUGCAAGGCCAGAAGUGAUGGACGCAGACGAUGCUGGGGACCAUCAAGCGGAUGGAGAUGAUUAUGACGCCAUGGAGGCUGACGAUGGAGGAGGUGGUGAUGAUUAA